rnacentral:rRNA from 1 species
GACAGAGGGUGCAAACGUUGCUCGGAAUCACUGGGCGUAAAGGGCGUGUAGGCGGGACAGUAAGUCGGGCGUGAAAUCCCUGGGCUCAACCCAGGAACUGCACUCGAAACUACUAUUCUUGAGUGUCGGAGAGGAAAGCGGAAUUCCUGGUGUAGAGGUGAAAUUCGUAGAUAUUCGCAAGAACACCAGUGGCGAAGGCGGCUCACUGGCCCGAUACUGACG